rnacentral:rRNA from 1 species
AUGAACGCUGGCGGCGUGCUUCACACAUGCCAGUCGAACGGGAAACCUUUUAUUGACGCUUCGGCAGAUUUAGCUGGUUUCUAGUGGCGGACGGGUGAGUAACGCGUGGGUAACCUGCCUUAUACAGGGGGAUAACAACCAGAAAUGGUUGCUAAUACCGCAUAAGCGCACAGGACCGCAUGGUCCGGUGUGAAAAACUCCGGUGGUAUAAGAUGGACCCGCGUUGGAUUAGCUAGUUGGCAGGGUAACGGCCUACCAAGGCGACGAUCCAUAGCCGGCCUGAGAGGGUGAACGGCCACAUUGGGACUGAGACACGGCCCAGACCCCUACGGGAGGCAGCAGUGGGGAAUAUUGCACAAUGGGGGAAACCCUGAUGCAGCGACGCCGCGUGAAGGAAGAAGUAUCUCGGUAUGUAAACUUCUAUCAGCAGGGAAGAUAGUGACGGUACCUGACUAAGAAGCCCCGGCUAACUACGUG